UACGUAGGGGGCUAGCGUUGUCCGGAAUCAUUGGGCGUAAAGCGCGUGUAGGCGGUCCGGUAAGUCCGCUGUGAAAGUCGAGGGCUCAACCUCGAAUGCCGGUGGAUACUGUCGGGCUUGAGUACGGGAGAGGCGAGUGGAAUUCCUGGUGUAGCGGUGAAAUGCGUAGAUAUCAGGAGGAAUACCGGUGGUGUAGACGGCUCUCUGGACCGCCACUGACGCUGAGACACGAAAGCGUGGGUAGCAAACAGG
rnacentral:rRNA from 1 species